rnacentral:tRNA from 1 species
GCUGUGGUGUCCGAGUGGUUAAGGAUAUGGACUUGAAAUCCAUUGGGCUUUGCCCGCACAGGUUCGAAUCCUGUCCGCAGCG